rnacentral:rRNA from 1 species
AUUGAACGCUGGCGGCAGGCCUAACACAUGCAAGUCGAACGAGUGGCGGACUGGUGAGUAAUGUCUGGGAAACUGCCUGAUGGAGGGGGAUGACUACUGGAAAAGGUAGCUAAUACCGCAUACCAUCAGAUGUGCCCAGGUGGGAUUAGCUAGUUGGUGGGGUAACGGCUCACCAAGGCGACGAUCCCUAGCUGGCCUGAGAGGAUGACCAGCCACACUGGAACUGAGACACGGUCCAGACUCCUACGGGAGGCAGCAGUGGGGAAUAUUGCACAAUGGGCGAAAGCCUGAUGCAGCCAUGCCGCGUGUAUGAAGAAGGCCUUCGGGUUGUAAAGUACUUUCAUCGGGGAGGCGUUACCUGCAGAAGAAGCACCGGCUAACUCCGUGCCAGCCGCCGCGGUAAUUC